rnacentral:misc_RNA from 1 species
AAGUCGUAACAAGGUUUCCGUAGGUGAACCUGCGGAAGGAUCAUUACCAAAUCCAAAUACCCAAACCCCAUGUGAACUAUUGUAUAGUCUGUCUUUGGGAGAAAACAUCCAAGAAAAACUAGCUUUUAUUAGCUUUUUUUUCUUGGAUUUUUCUCCCAAUAGAGUCCGGCACAACUUUACUGUUUGUGUCCAGAUUCGAAACCCUAAACCACUUGAUUUUCUGUUGGAAUUUCUUUUUUUUAAUUUUUUAAAUAAAAGACAACUUUUAACGGCGGAUCUCUUGGCUCGUG